rnacentral:tRNA from 1 species
GGUUGUAGCUCAGUGGCAGAGCUCUUUCCUAGCAUGCGUGAGGCACUGGGUUCGAUCCUCAGCACCA